CAAUAGCGUAUAUUAAAGUUGUUGCAGUUAAAAAGCUCGUAGUUGGAUUUGUGGCGUACGGUGUGUUCCGGGCACUUGUUGUCUGAGUAACCUGCUGUUGCCAUCCUUGGGUGGAACCUGUGUGGCAUUAGGUUGUCGUGCAGGGGAUGCCCAUCAUUUACUGUGAAAAAAUUAGAGUGUUCAAAGCAGGCUUAUGCCGUUGAAUAUAUUAGCAUGGAAUAAUGAGAUAGGACUUUCUUGCUAUUUUGUUGGUUUGCGCAAAGAGGUAAUGAUUAAUAGGGACAGUUGGGGGUAUUCGUAUUCCAUUGUCAGAGGCGAAAUUCUUGGAUUUUUGGAAGACGAACUACUGCGAAAGCAUUUACCAAGGAUGUUUUCAUUAA
rnacentral:rRNA from 1 species